UAGGGAAUCUUCCACAAUGGACGCAAGUCUGAUGGAGCAACGCCGCGUGAGUGAAGAAGGUCUUCGGAUCGUAAAGCUCUGUUGUUGGUGAAGAAGGAUAGAGGCAGUAACUGGUCUUUAUUUGACGGUAAUCAACCAGAAAGUCACGGCUAACUACGUGCCAGCAGCCGCGGUAAUACGUAGGUGGCAAGCGUUGUCCGGAUUUAUUGGGCGUAAAGCGAGCGCAGGCGGAAUGAUAAGUCUGAUGUGAAAGCCCACGGCUCAACCGUGGAACUGCAUCGGAAACUGUCAUUCUUGAGUGCAGAAGAGGAGAGUGGAACUCCAUGUGUAGCGGUGGAAUGCGUAGAUAUAUGGAAGAACACCAGUGGCGAAGGCGGCUCUCUGGUCUGCAAACUGACGCUGAGGCUCGAAAAGCAUGGGUAGCGAACAGGAUUAGAUACCCUGGUAGUCCAUGCCGUAAACGAUGAGCGCUAGGUGUUGGGGACUUUCCGGUCCUCAGUGCCGCAGCAAACGCAUUAAGCGCUCCGCCUGGGGAGUACGACCGCAAGGUUGAA
rnacentral:rRNA from 1 species